UUGUCCGGAUUUACUGGGCGUAAAGAGCGCGCAGGCGGUCGAUCAAGUCGAGUGUGAAAGCCCCCGGCUCAACUGGGGAGGGUCAUUCGAUACUGAUCGACUCGAAGGCAGGAGAGGGUAGUGGAAUUCCCGGUGUAGUGGUGAAAUGCGUAGAUAUCGGGAGGAACACCAGUGGCGAAGGCGACUACCUGGCCUGUUCUUGACGCUGAGGCGCGAAAGCUAGGGGAGCAAACGGG
rnacentral:rRNA from 1 species